rnacentral:rRNA from 1 species
CACGGGGGGAGCAAGCGUUGUUCGGAAUCACUGGGCGUAAAUGGCGUGUCGGCGGUCAAGUAAGGGGAAUGUGAAAGCCCCCGGCUUACCCGGGGAUCUGCAUCCCAAACUGCUUGGCUUGAGUACGGGAGAGGAUAGGGGAAUUCCUGGUGUAGCGGUGAAAUGCGUAGAUAUCAGGAGGAACACCGGUGGCGAAGGCGCCUAUCUGGCCCGAUACUGACGCUGAGGCGCGAAAGCUAGGGGAGCGAACGGG